AAAAGAAACUAACUAGGAUUCCCUCAGUAACUGCGAGUGAAGCGGGAAAAGCUCAAAUUUAAAAUCGGACGAGCCUAACCGGCCGUACCGAGUUGUAGUCUAUAGAGGCGGUGUUCUGCAUCGGACCGUGUACAAGUCCCUUGGAAUAGGGCAUCAUAGAGGGUGAGAAUCCCGUCCAUGACACGGAAUCGCCGGUGCUUUGAGAGCCGUCUUCAAAGAGUCGAGUUGUUUGGGAACGCAACUCAAAUUGGGUGGUAAGCUCCAUCUAAAGCUAAAUACAGGCGAGAGACCGAUAGCGAACAAGUACCGUGAGGGAAAGAUGAAAAGCACUUUGGAAAGAGAGUUAAACAGUACGUGAAAUUGCUGAAAGGGAAACGCUUGAAGUCAGUCGCGUUGGCGAAAGGGGCUCAGCCAGGCCUUGGCUUGGUUUAUUCCCCGGUCAACGGGUCAGCAUCGAUUUUAACCGUCGGAAAAGGGCUGGAGGAAGGUGACACCUUGGUGUUUUAUAGCCUUCAGUCGAAUGCGACGGUUGGGAUCGAGGAAGUAUUUGAAAAUAAAAUCUAAAUGGCGGCGGGGCUUGCAUCCGCUCGCCUUUGAUGCUGGCUGAAUGGCUUUAAACGACCCGUCUUGAAACACGGACCAAGGAGUCUAACAUGCCUG
rnacentral:rRNA from 1 species